UAGGGAAUCUUCCACAAUGGACGCAAGUCUGAUGGAGCAACGCCGCGUGAGUGAAGAAGGGUUUCGGCUCGUAAAGCUCUGUUGUUAAAGAAGAACACGUAUGAGAGUAACUGUUCAUACGUUGACGGUAUUUAACCAGAAAGCCACGGCUAACUACGUGCCAG
rnacentral:rRNA from 1 species